GAAGACUAUUUGAUUAUUUCAAGAGAAGUGGUCAGAAGUUAUAUAGUCAGUCUUCAAGUUCACAUAUCUGAUCGAAGCAAUCGAUUAUCCUCAAGUUGCACGAACAGGAAAAUUUACAAAAAAAAAUGACACUUUUCAUGAUACAGUGAGAAGAGUCUAUAGUUUGUGUAUUUAUAUCUUUGCCAUGUGAACCCAACAAUGCAGAGCAGGAAGACUAAUUGAUUAUUUCAAGAGAAGUGGUCAGAAGUUAUAUAGUUAGUCUUCAAGUUCCCAUAUCUGAUCGAAGCAAUCCAUUAUCCUCAAGUUGCAAGAACAGGUACUUUGAACAAUGGGAAACCGUUCCGGCGGGUUUCGUCUUCUCGGCAAUGGGCACUCUUUUUACCGUAUUGAACUGGGCGAGGCAGCUACCAUUAGCAUGAAGAAGAGAGGAAUAAAGCUAGAUGAAAAGACUCAUAAAAUGACUCAGACCUGGGAAGUCUUGUACAACGUGCAAGGAGUGAUUUCUACAUUUUCCAUAACCAAUAAAACCACCGAAACAAAUUCAGACGAGGAGUUAGACAUCAAAAUUGAAGAUUAUACGCAUGGAAUAGAAACAGAUAUAGCUAUGUAUGGUGAAACGAAUUACGUAACGGUGAGAAAAGCAGAAGCUGGUCUCUUCUUGACGUAUAUCGUGGGGCAGAAUCUUAUCGAUUUUUCGUCAACCACCGAGGCCCUUACACAGCAAAGUCCGGUGAUUCCUCGAGGGGUGAGACAAAAACGUAUUUUCACGCUUAUGGGUAUGGAACUAGGAUGAGUCUUUUCGUUAUGGAGUCCAAGAGCAGAAGAAGCAAUGAGAAGGCUUACAUGGUAACCGUGGCUCAUUAUUACGUGAAGAGUUCUAGCGGAGGAAUAUUCAAUGCAAGUGGUGUAGACAUUGGUCUUUCCAUGGUGGUGAGUGGUGACGAUUCGAGUGUCGCGUACAGGCCGUUUGGAAUUCAACGUAGAUGGGCCUGUUGAACACCCUUCUUCGGCACUGUUUCACAUGAUUGAAGAGGCUACGGGAACCGGGACGUGGAAACCUACUGCAUGUCCUCAUUGUGUCAAUGUUCAGAGGCAGUCUGAUGAGAGUGAAGACAGUGACAGUUCUCUUAGGGCACCACGGCAAAGUCAUGGCAGCCUUCAAAGUAUAGGAAAUAGAGGACGGGUCAACGGGGAUGCUAACGGUAGUUUCUUUCAAGGAAAUAAAAUUAAGUUUGUUAAAAGAUGGAUAUAAUUAAGUUUAUGUAGAUAAUUUGUUAAAUAUGUAUUCAUAUUUAUUUAUUUAAUUAAGAUAAUUAUUCAUA